UAUAGACAAGCAUUCUUGGAACAUAUUAUUAAAUGAUGUACGAUAACUUUCUCAUAAUAUUGCAACGGUAAAUUUUAAUUUAAUAAGACUUGUAUGAGCCCAAGUUUUUGUUACAACGAGCUAAUAUUGCAUUCUUGGCGUCAGCGGUGAUUUGUUGGGAAUUCCUCGACGAAGGGAAAUUUUAAGGAAUCUUAAGGAUCGAAAUGGGAUACUUUAAAUUAUCACCGAGUAAAAGUUUGAAUAAUUAUACGAAGCCAUUAUCAUUUAGUACAAAAUUUGUAAUAUUUCUAAAGUUAACUACGUUAUAAAAUCUGCUGUUGAAUAGAGCAAGUGUUGGAAAUUUGGCUGGUGUGUCAGUCAGAUAAUUUACUGGAGUAUCCAAAUAAAGUGAUUAUUUAAAGGCCACUUGCAAUAUGAUAGGAGUGAACAUUGUGGUCUUGAUAUUAUAAUAAUCGUGAUUGGUAGGAGUGUUCUUUGUGGUUGAAUAGCGAAUUGUCGGAGGGGACUUGGGACAAUAAAGCCUUUGAAUGGAAUAACUGCAACAUUAUAAAAACAUUGUAUGCGUAGAAGAAGACGGAGGCAUCAUCAGAUAAUAUUAAGCCCUGGACCCGGUCUCUCCAAGCGACAUCUGGCGCUAGUCGGGCACAAUGAUUUACUGGAGUUUCUGAUUACAAUUUGAUGAUUGUUCUUCCCGUUAUUCUUCAUAUAACAUUAUACACGCCGAAGUUAAGAAAAGUGCCUCAGACAUUAAUGGUGAAGUUAAGUUUUGUGAAAUAUUAAAUUCAUAAAAUGUUUUAGCACCGCUCCUAAUGCCUAUAUUAAAGUGUAUUUCCUCCGUAAAAGUGGACAGAUCCGGCGGCAAACCGCUGAUAUUAAAGAUUAAUGUUUA